GAAUUUUGGACAAUGGGCGAAAGCCUGAUCCAGCAAUGCCGCGUGCAGGAUGAAGGCCUUCGGGGUGUAAACUGCUCUUGUACGGAACGAAAAGCUUUGGGUUAAUACCCUGGAGUCAUGACGGUACCGUAAGAAUAAGCAACGGCUAACUACGGCACAGCAGCCGCGGUAACACGUAGGGUGCAAGCGUUAAUCGGCAUUACUGGGCGUAAAGCGGGCGCAGGCGGUUUUGGAAGACAGAGGUGAAAUCCCCGGGCUCAACCUGGGAACUGCCUUUGUGACUGCAAGGCUAGAGUACGGCAGAGGGGGGUGGAAUUCCGCGUGUAGCAGUGAAAUGCGUAGAUACGCGGAGGAACACCGAUGGCGAAGGCAGCCCCCUGGGCCUGUACUGACGCUCAUGCACGAAAGCGUGGGGAGCAAAC
rnacentral:rRNA from 1 species